GAUAAUCUGCCCUUAGGUAAGGGAUAACCUCGGAAACCUGAGGAUAACACCUUAUAGAGAAGUAAUCUGGAAUGGUGCUUCUCGAAAAGCAAUGCCUAAGGAUGAGUCGGCGGCGGAUUAGGCUGAUGGCGGGGUAACGGCCCACCAUACCUUUGAUCCGUAGGGGCCAUGAGAGUGGUAGCCCCGAGAAGGGUACUGAGAUACUGACCCUAGCCCUACGGGGUGCAGCAGGCGCGAAAACUUUACAAUGCACGAAAGUGUGAUAGGGGGAACCCAAGUGCUCAUGCAUUGCAUGGGCUUUUGCCAAGAAUAAAUACCUUGGCGAAUAAGUGGUGGGUAAGACUGGUGCCAGCCGCCGCGGUAACACCAGCGCCACAAGUGGGAACCGCUUUUAUUGGGCCUAAAGCGUCCGUAGCCUGUUUGUUAAAUCUUCUGUGAAAUCGUUAGUGUAAACCUAACGGCAUGCAGGAGAGACUGGCAGACUAGGAACCGGGAGGAGUCUAAAGUAUUUCUGGGGGAGCGGUAAAAUGCUAUAAUCCUUGAAAGACUACCUGUGGUGGAGACGUUAGACUAGAACGGUUUCGACGGUGAGGGACGAAAGCCAGGGGAGCAAACCGGAUUAGAUACCCGAGUAGUCCUGGCUGUAAACUCUGCGAGCAAGGUGUUGUAUAUCUCUAGUGGAUAUGCAGUAUCGAAACGAAGGUGUUAAGCUCGCCGCCUGGGAAGUAUGGUCGCAAGGCUGAAACUUAAAGGAAUUGGCGGGGGAGCACUACAACGGGUGCGGCGUGCUGUUUAAUUUGAUUCUACACAGAGCAUCUUACUAGGGGCGACGGCAGAAAGAUGGUCAGGUUAAUGACUUUACCAGACGAGCCGAGAGGUGGUGCAUGGCCGCCGUCAGCUCGUGCUGUGAGGUGUCCUUUUAAGUAAGGUAACGAGCGAGACCUGAACCCAUAAUUGCUAAUUGGCCCUCUGGUUUACCUUAGGGUGUCUGAGCACAUUAUUGGGACCGCCUCCGAAAGGGGGAGGAAGGUUCAGGCUACGGUAGGUCUGUAUGCCCCGAAUCUCCUAGGCAACAAGCGCGCAACAAUGGCAGGAACAAUGGGAUGCAACUCCGAAAGGAGGAGCCAAUCCUCGAAAUCCUGUCUUAGUCUAGAUUGUGGGUUGUAACUCACCCACAUGACAACGGAAUCCGUAGUAAUCGGAUGUUAUCAGCGUCCGGUGAAUAUGUCCCUGCUCCUUGCACACACUGCCCGUCAAGCCACUCGAGCAGGGUUUAGGUGAGAUUCAGUUUAAUUGACUGUCUCGAAUCUAAGCUCAGUGAGAUGGGCUAAGUCGUCACAAGGUA
rnacentral:rRNA from 1 species